rnacentral:rRNA from 1 species
UCCCAGUCGGGCAUUUGACGGGUGAGUAACGCGUGGAUGACCUGCCCUUUAGUGUUUUACCAACCAGGGGAAACUCUGACUAAUACCGCAUAAGACCGAAAGGUGAAAGGGGGCCGCAAGGCUCUCGCUGAAGGAGGGGUCCGCGUCCGAUUAGCUAGUUGGUAGGGUAAUGGCCUACCAAGGCGACGAUCGGUAGCCGGCCUGAGAGGGUGAUCGGCCACACUGGAACUGAGACACGGUCCAGACUCCUACGGGAGGCAGCAGUGGGGAAAUUUUGCGCAAUGGGCAAACGCCUGACGCAGCAACGCCGCGUGGAGGAUGAAGGUCUUUGGAUUGUAAACUCCUGUCAGCGGGGGAAAAAAGGGACCUGGGCUAAUACCCUAGGGACUUGAUUGUACCCGCAAAGGAAGCCCCGGCUAACUCUGUGCCAGCAGCCGCGGUAAUACAGAGGGGGGCNAGCGUUUAUUCGGAAUUAUUGGGCCGUAAAGGGCGCGUAAGGCGGCUUUGCAAGUGGCGGGGUGAAAUCCCUCGGGCUUAACCGAGGAACUGCCUGCCNANACUGUGAGGCUUGAGACCGGGAAAGGUGAAGUGGAAUUCCCGUGUAGCGGUGAAUGCUUAGAUUUU